rnacentral:rRNA from 1 species
UACGAAGGGGGCUAGCGUUGUUCGGAUUUACUGGGCGUAAAGCGCACGUAGGCGGAUCGUUAAGUCGGGGGUGAAAUCCUGGAGCUCAACUCCAGAACUGCCUUCGAUACUGCAAAUCUCGAGUCCGGAAGAGGUGAGUGGAAUUCCUAGUGUAGAGGUGAAAUUCGUAGAUAUUAGGAAGAACACCAGUGGCGAAGGCGGCUCACUGGUCCGGUACUGACGCUGAGGUGCGAAAGCGUGGGGAGCAAACAGG